rnacentral:tRNA from 1 species
GGAGAGAUUGCCGAGCGAUCCAUGGCGCUGGUUUAAGGCACCAGUCCCUUCGGGGGCGUGGGUUCGAAUCCCACUCUCUUCA